rnacentral:rRNA from 1 species
AUGCCGCGUGUGUGAAGAGGCCUGAGGGUUGUAAAGCACUUUCAGUGGGGAGGAGGAUAGCAUGGUUAAGAGCUGAGCUAUUGGACGUUACCUACAGAAGAAGCACCGGCUAACUCCGUGCCAGCAGCCGCGGUAAUACGGAGGGUGCGAGCGUUAAUCGGAAUUACUGGGCGUAAAGGGUGCGUAGGUGGUUAAAUAAGUUAGAUGUAAAAACCCUGGGCUUAACCUAGGACUGAGAUUUAAUACUGUUUAACUAGAGUAUGGGAGAGGGUAGUGGAAUUUCCGGUGUAGCGGUGAAAUGCGUAGAGAUCGGAAGGAACACCAGUGGCGAAGGCGGCUACCUGGCCUAAUACUGACACUGAGGCACGAAAGCGUGGGGAGCAAACAGGAUUAGAUACCCUGGUAGUCCACGCUGUAAACGAUGUCAACUAGCCGUUGG